CCCUGGCGGCGGCGCCGCGGAGCUUGGCGCGGCAGCUGGAGGCGGCCUGGCGCGUGGUGACGGCGCCCGCGGGCGGGCGCAGGAUGGCGGCGCUGCGGGGCGACGGCUUCGCCAGGCUUCGGCCCGCACGGGCGCAGCGGACCCCAGGGAGGAAAGACAAAGACACGCCGGUUAGCAACGGGCGGGAACCGCGCAGCCCGGGGCCGAGGCUCCGCGUCCCCCCGCACCCAUCAGAUACAUAAAAGCAUCCCACUGUCUGCACACUAGACGAGAGCCAAAGCCCAGCCUGAGACGGCCUAAAGAUGUGGUCACCUUCCAGAAGCUUAUACAGAACCACACUAGAGACUGACGUCCUGAACAUAAACAUGUCUGAAACAGAUGUAUAUGCUGAUACUAAACAGACAUGGAAACAGGUAUCAGAAGGUUUUAUCAUUUGCAUGUUAAAGAAAAACAACACCACUGUCUGCUUUUCCCAAGGUACUUGAAAAACCUUCAUCAGUUGUCUUUCCUGGACCAUAUUUUAGAAAGUUAAGCCAAAAUAUUUAACUCUAAUUUCCUUUUUUAAAAAAAAAGAAAAACAAACAAAAACAAGUGUUUGUCGUGUGUGCUCUUCUUGCCACUUAACUCAUUAAAAAGGUUUCUCCCUCCAGCCAUUGCAGUUCUUAUUACGCGCGCGCGCGCGCGUGCGCGCACACACACACACACACACACACACACACACACACACACACACACACACACACACCUGAUUGCUGGGGUCUAAAAUGACCUGCUCCUCUUCUGCUUCUUCUGCCUCCGAGACCACUUCCACACUGGUGUGUAGUUUUGCAAGCAAUGGGACAAUCUAUAGUGACUUCUCCACCAUUUCCCACUCUAACAAGCCCAUCUUCCAGAAGGCUGGGGAGAACACUACAGCAUUUGUUACUGACAGGGUGACUGGCUCCCUCCUCUGAACCAUUUUCUCUGUAUUCACAUUCAUCCAGAGAGUUCUGAUUUACCCAUUGUGUGUCUGUCACAUCAGCAAUGCCACAGCUGUCUGCUGAAUUAAGCAGCAUUCUGCCUCUACUCUUAAUUUUCAGCCAUAAUCUCCCAACACUAUGGCCAACUCACAACUAGAACACACUGCUACCACUUUAAAAAUAACUUUCCACCAUAUAAGAGAUGAUUCAAGCAAGGCUUGAAAUGAGAAUGUGCAGUUAGAUGGAGAAAGUCACAACUAACAUCUACUGAAAUACAACACAAAAUCAAAUACAUCAUGAAGCCAAGCA